AACGAACGCUGGCGGCAGGCUUAACACAUGCAAGUCGAACGCCCCGCAAGGGGAGUGGCAGACGGGUGAGUAACGCGUGGGAAUCUACCCAGUUCUACGGAAUAACCCAGGGAAACUUGGACUAAUACCGUAUACGCCCUACGGGGGAAAGAUUUAUCGGAAUUGGAUGAGCCCGCGUUGGAUUAGCUAGUUGGUGGGGUAAUGGCCUACCAAGGCGACGAUCCAUAGCUGGUCUGAGAAGAUGAUCAGCCACACUGGGACUGAGACACGGCCCAGACUCCUACGGGAGGCAGCAGUGGGGAAUAUUGGACAAUGGGCGCAAGCCUGAUCCAGCCAUGCCGCGUGAGUGAUGAAGGCCUUAGGGUUGUAAAGCUCUUUCAGUGGGGACGAUAAUGACGGUACCCACAGAAGAAGCCCCGGCUAACUUCGUGCCAGCCGCCGCUGUAAGAC
rnacentral:rRNA from 1 species